UUUCAAAGGAGGAGCUGGACUCGGAGUCAGAGAGUGAGGUGGUUGAGCCGACUAAUGAAGAUUUGAAAUUGUAUCUGAUGCUUCAAGGCUUUCCAAAGAGCAAAACAUGAGCAUGAGGCAUUAAAGAGGCAGCUUGAAACUUAUUUCCAGUUGAGAAGACAAGCUGGAAUGGCACAAAGGUCUUGAAUGCCACAUAGAUUGGCGAUUGCAUGAGGUGCCCAUAUAAUAGGGAGAAACUAGUUGAGAACUAUGUAUUUUGUCAAUCUCGUGAACUCCUAGCUACGUAAUAUUUGUUUUACUAUAGUA